rnacentral:lncRNA from 1 species
CAGCUUUCUUGAAAUUAAUGAGUGACAUCCCUAAAUGCGGACAGCCUUCCCAGAGAGAGCCAUUCUUUACUGAUUCCUGGGAAUGCAUAAGGUUAAUGAAAGUGUUUUCUUAGCACUGCGACACCAUUCAACUUCUGACCAAGAACUCUUUGUGACAUGUUACGGGAAAACUCCCUCCUGUUUGGCUUCUGUAGCUGGAAUUUGAAUCACACCGUGUGACUGUUCUAUGACAGCCUGGAGAAAUUCUUUCUAUUACAUUGGGAGGUCAAAGCAGUCUUCCCAUCCCCUCUCCAAUUGUUUGUGUUUUAGCAUUAUCCC